rnacentral:lncRNA from 1 species
AUGAAAGAUGGCCCUGAGGUUAGACCACUGUUGAUUGUGUGCUGCACCCUUUCUGGGGAGAUGGCAAAGAGGUUAGCAGCUGGUGUUCUCAACCAACACGUCAGUCUCACCUGCUCCUCCUCCUCUCUCUACCUCGUGGCAAGUGGAGCUUCAGCCAAACCACCAAUGCAAAAACCUGGAUUCAGUUGUCACUCCUUUCCCUCACACGGAUGGCUGGUCACAGUGGUCAAGAUCGUCUUGGACGGAGAAGAAAUGAGCUUGAGUAUGAAGAAAGUAGGCUGGGAAGAAGCAGUUGCCAGCAGCCCAGGGUUUACUGCCCUGUGUAAGCUGACCGCCCUGGAAAGGCUGGGAUUCAACCUGGAAAGCACACCAGGAAAGGGAAACAGCACUGCUCCUGUGUCUGCUUUGCCAUCCUGCAAACCACGCACCUGUGUCCGGGUCUCUCCAAACCUCAUUCUGGCUGCCGCCCCUACGCCCAACAGAGAGCAGCCCAGCCUGUUGUGCCGAGUACAGAAUGUUCUCUUCUGUGAACUGAGCUUGAACUUUCCCAACCCGCUUUGUUUGAGGAACCACACAGACAGAGGGAAGAGACAGAGAAGAUAA